ensembl:snRNA U1 U1 spliceosomal RNA
AUGCUUACCUGGCAGGGGAGAUACCAUGAUCAUGAAGGUGAUUUUCACACAUGAAGCUUAUCCAUUGCACUCAGGAGGUGCUGACCUCUGUGAUUUCCCCAAAUGUGGUAAACUCAACUGCACGAUUUGUGAUAGUUGGGGAACUUCCUCCUG